AGCUUUGCAUAGUGGCAGUAUUGUAGGCAAUAGAUUUAUAUGAGGUGUGAUUAUUGCUAAUUGAAAACUUUUCCCAAUACUCCACCUUGAAGAUUUGUAGUAUAGCUGGCAUUGGCAAUUUUUGACAGUCUUUAUGGAGA